CCUCUUUGCUUGCAGCAGACGUAUGUCAAGGUACGGAGGUCGAGCGCGGGACGAUGGCACCACUCGAGAAGCCGCACCUAUAUCGCCAUUCUCCAAGAAAUGCUCCUGUUUGGCACUGGUGAUGGUGCCUUGCGGUUUGAGUCCAGACUUGCCGCCCGGUCCCAACAUCGCGGAGUCACCCAGUACAAGACGUCGGUGAUUAUUUGAAUCACUGCAACAUAACACAACAGUGUUAAAAUUAUGCAAAAAUAUAGAAAUGUUUGUUUC